CUGUGCAAAGGUAGCAUAAUCAUUAGUUUUUUAAUUGAAAGCUGGAAUGAAUGGUUUUAUAAGAAAAAUACUGUCUCAUUGUUAAAUUUAAAAUUUUAUUUUUAAGUUAAAAAGCUUAAAUUUAUUUAAAAGACGAGAAGACCCUAUAGAGUUUAAUAAAAAAAAUUAAUUUUUAUUAAGAUUUAAAUUUAAAAUUAAUUUUAAUUGUUUUGUUGGGGUGAUAUAAAAAUUGAAGAAACUUUUUAUUAAUUUAUUCAUAAAUUUAUGUAUUAAUGAUCCUGAUUUUUGGAUUGUAAGAAAAAUUACCUUAGGGAUAACAGCGUAAUUUUUUUUGAGAGUUCUUAUCGAAAAAGAAGUUUGCGACCUCGAUGUUGGAUUAAAAUUAAAUUUUGGCGUAGAAGUUAAAAAUUUAGGUCUGUUCGACCUUUAAAAUU
rnacentral:rRNA from 1 species